CUUGUGUACAGACUGCUGCCACACUGGCUGGCUAGGUCACUCUAGGUCACAUAUAGAGAUGUUAAAGAGUGCCAGCUCAAAGCCCUGCAUCUUUGCCUGACUGAAAGCUGAGUUGGUCAGUCCUGGUUGCUGGAAUCAACCCCCUCAAGAGAGAGAGACAGAACCAACUCUGCUACUCAAAUGAGCCUUCAUCCAGUAGCUGAUGGAAGCAGAAGCAGACAUCCACAGCUAUACACUA